rnacentral:rRNA from 1 species
GUAGGGUGCGAGCGUUAAUCGGAAUUACUGGGCGUAAAGCGUGCGCAGGCGGUCCGCAAAGUCUGAUGUGAAAGCCCCGGGCUCAACCUGGGAACUGCAUUGGAAACUAACGGGCUCGAGUGUGGCAGAGGGGGGUGGAAUUCCACGUGUAGCAGUGAAAUGCGUAGAGAUGUGGAGGAACACCGAUGGCGAAGGCAGCCCCCUGGGCUAACACUGACGCUCAGGCACGAAAGCGUGGGGAGCAAACAGGAUUAGAUACCCUGGUAGUCCACGCCCUAAACGAUGUCAACUGGGUGUUGGGGAAGCGAUUCCUCAGUACCGUAGCUAACGCGUGAAGUUGACCGCCUGGGGAGUACGGCCGCAAGGUUA